rnacentral:misc_RNA from 1 species
AAGUCGUAACAAGGUUUCCGUAGGUGAACCUGCGGAAGGAUCAUUACCGUGACCGCCCAGGGAGGGGGCCGUCCCCUGAAAAAGGACGGCCCCUGGCCUAGCCGCGUGACACACUACCUCACCUACUCGUACCCCUUGUUCUUCCCUCGGCAGGGACGCCUGCUGAUGGGGACCCCCCCCCAAACCCUCUGUACCAGCAUGAAAAUCUGAAUCGGACCCAACUAUUACAACUUUCAACAAUGGAUCUCUUGGCUCUG